rnacentral:lncRNA from 1 species
CAAAAUAGAAAGUUAGCAUCUUUAAACAGAAAAUAGAGCCUGACUUCACAUACAAUUCUCCAAUCCAAUAGAAAAAAAAAAGGAAUGGAAAAAGAAGAUUUUUAAAUAAAGCAUCUAUGAUUGUUAUGUCCUAUUGAUAAACUGACCCAUUUAUCAUUAUGAAAUGACCAUCAUUAUCAGAUUCGUAGAUGCGGUUGUUUUGGUCUAUCCCAAAAGUUGUACCACCACGAGCCAGAGAGUCAUAUGAGGUAAAUGCACCGUGGGACCUCAGACAUCAUGCCCUUCAGUCCUUUAGUUCAGCAAAUGAAGAAAUGCACCAAGAGACAACGAGCAAAAAUGAUACUGACUCCUGAGAGACAGCCCAUCCCUAAGAGAAGGAGAUCACUGCAGUCCUUCCUCUCAUUCUGCCCCACCAUCCCAGACUGCCUCUGGGGCACAGUCCACACAGAGUCUUUUUCCAAUCCGGUACUUCAGCAGCACCUGUAAAGAAGGCAGCAAGACCCAGAACCAUAUCCUUGAGAACUAACGCUAAACUAUUUCAUGGCCAAGUUGAGGAGAUGGAGAGACUGUGACCUAAAAUAAGGAAUGAAGAAAGAGAUGGAUAAGAUGACCCAUCAAGUGUCGUGCUAAUUCAGGUAUGCUUUCAAAGGAAAACCUAGCUCAAACUAACAAACAAUGAAGGAUUUCCUGGCUCUCUUGAGCGGAAAUUCAAGAAACACAGAAAGCUUCAGGCACAGUUCUUUUGGGACUCUGGUUCUGUUUCUCAGACAUUCUCUCGUCAUUGCCUUCUUCCAGGCAGCAGGGUUUCUAUAGGAUUGUGUCACUUCUAUGACAAGCUGGGUAUGUGAGAGUAUUUAACUUAGCCUAAUGUCAUUAAGCAAAUAGUUACUCUUCCUUGAAUCCAAUUUCAAUUUCAAAAAUCACUUUGUGAUACCCACACUGGUCUGCUGAUAUGGACAGAAUGCACAUUGAAUAGUCUUCCAUCCCUGUGAAAGUGAUGUCUUAUGGCAAAUCAAUACAGUUGCAUCUUAUUAUGGUUUGGAAUGUUCUGUUGCCUUACUGCAGGGACAGAAUGUGCUGAACAUGCCAAAAUGUGUAUUUCUGGACAGUCUCCAGGUAUAUUUGAGGGCAGAAUCAAUUGAAUCUUUUGAUGUAUUAGAUGAUGGGGAUGGGAAGAAAGAGAGAGCUUUGCAUCUAGAUUUCUGACUUGGGUACCUAGUUUGAUAGUCAUGCCAUUUGCUGCGAUUGGGAACCUGGAGAAAAAUAGAGUUGAGCAAAAUAAUGAAAUAGAUUUUAAAGUUGACUUGUAAGAUACAGAAUCUACACUUCUGGGCAGAUUACUCAUAAGGUAAAAAAACAAAAACACUUAUAACCUCUUAUUAAAAGCAGAACAAUAAUCCAAGAAAAUGCUGUCAUUUUUAACAGAGACCAAAUUUUAGUCUUAUUUCAGUGUAAUAACUAAUGCUAAUUUUUCUUUUUAAAAUAUUAAAGCAAGUACAUAAAUCUUAGUCAGGUUUGACUGCAAGAAAUAAAAUUCCUUUUCCACAAACUUUCUACAACUUCCCAUAUUCACUCAGACUUUGUCCCAUACUUUCUUAUUUCUCAUUCUGCAACAAUCAAUCAUCCAUACAAAGUAAUACAACCAAAAAGAUGGGUUUUCUUACCCACUCAAGUUUCAAGUUCCUGGUGAAAACUGUAUGAUCCAUCAUGUGCCACAUUUUGCAGGUGGGGUGGGGGGGACCUAUAACAGCAACUAGGGUGACAGGGAAUAAGGAUGGGAGCAGGAUUUCAUUAAUUCAUUAAAUAUUCAUUAAGUGGAUGAAUAGGAUCAUGGCUAGAAGGGAGGAUCAUGGCUGGUAGGCAGCAUCGUGGAUGAUUAUUUUUUACCAUCCAGUAAUACAAGUUAGCUUGGGGUUAGUUUGUUAUAACUACCCAUAGUCUAUGCCAAGAAAGUUCCCAAAUAUCCAACAGUAACCUUGCAUAUGGUCUAAUCCAUCCUUUUUCUGGAUAUCACAUUUCCCACAUUUUCUUAAAACGAAUAUUUUUGCACUAUUCUCGGAAGAAAUUUUCAACAAUUGUUUAAUCAAGCGUUCACAUGGUGGGUAGGAUGAACACUACUAGUUGUCCGUUUACUAUCUUGCCAACCAAUCCAGAUCUUUUCUGAUUGAAAACCUCAAAUGUCCAGACUGCAGCUAGUGAUACUGACCUAGCUAGUGAGAUGUAAGUGGAUGGCUGCUCACUGGGGCUUCCAAAAGCACUACGUCUUUUCCUGAUUAAAAUGUUUUAAAGAGAUAGAUUAAUGGCAUUCAUGUUUGACCCUUUGUCUUUCCCACUAGAAUGCAGACUUAAUACUCAGAAGUAAAGUUGCCAUUAUGAAACAAUGAAAACCGUGAUCACACUAUAUUGUCACUGCUACUCUUUUGCAACCCUGUCUAGACUACAAACUCUUCAAGGUUCUUGUCAGUUUUGUUCCCCUUGUAUCCCACACACCAAGUAUAUUGUGUGGCUCAUAGUAUACACAGAACACAUGCUGAUGGAGUAAAGGAAUGGAAAUACAUAAACACAGGCAGAGUUUAUAUCUUUAAAGAACUUAUUGCCCUUUUUAUUUCAAAUAUACUGGAAAAUCAUGUAAAGUAGUAGAAGGAGGACAUUUUUUGGUAAUGAUAGCUGGAUCUAUACUUCAGUUGUACCGCUUAUAACCUUGUGACGUGGGGAAAUCUACCUCUCCCUUUUGAGCCCGUGUGUAUUAAUCAGUAUAAUGAUGAAAAAAAUAUUGUGUGGGUUAUUUGUGAGUACAAAAUGGGAUGAUAUAUGCAAUGUCUACCAGGGUAGACUCAAUAUUAGUCCUCUUCCUUUCCUAGCAUGCAGCUUAUCUUCCAGUUAACACAGCUAUCUGCUCAUGCAUUCAUGUAAAGGACUCAACUUUAUACUAAAUUCCACAUACUCCUCUAUACCCAAGCCCUUUUCAUUCCCUCACUUAAAGAGACACAAAAUUACUGCAGGCUUUUGUGUGUGUGUGGCUGCCCGCACGGCAUGUGGAAAUUCCCUGGCCAGGGUUAGAACCUGCACCACAGUAGCAACCUGAGCUAUUGCAGUAAUAAUGCUGGAUCCUUAACCGUCUGUGCCACAAGGGAACCCACCUACAAUUGUUUAAGUACAUGGAAAAGAAGAGGGUAAAAAGAAAUAAUAUUUGUUUAAAAUUAUUCACAAAAAAAUUCUUUAAAUCUACUAUAUUUAAAUUUAUUAUGGUUUUAAGCCAAAUUUUGUGAAUCCAGGUUUUAUAUAUGACCAAUGGCUACCAACCAAGUGUUCUGACUGAUGGAAAUAUUCUAUAUCAUUGUUUUGGUUGGGGUUACACAAUUGUGUAUAAUUAAAAAAAAAACUCAUCAAGUUGUAUAUUUAUAUUUGGUGAAAUUUACUUGAAUAUAAAUUAUAUUUCAGUAAAGUUGAUUCAAGUUUUAAAAGCUGUGGUAGCAUCUAUACGUAGUGAGUAGAUUAAGUAUUUAAGAUCAACCUCUCUAUCAGAAAAAAAGAAAACUGAAAUAACUAUUCAAAUAUAUGAAAUGAGUUUUUGUCCUGAUGGCAUUUGGCAAUCCAGAAAAAUAGAAUUUUAGUUUUUCCAGCUACAUAGUAGAUAAGAAAUUCUGUUCCCCAUAUAAUAUGGACGUCUAACAGGAACCCCCAUCUCACAGUCCACACUAAAUUGUGUUCCCAAAGGGAUGCACAUUGGGGUGAAAGGAAUUACUGAGUGGAAUCCUAUGUAGCUAUUUUCAAGUCUCCUUGAAAUCAGCAUUUUUUUUUUCAGAGUAUACAGGGAUUUGGGAUAUGAAUAAGAAGAAAAAAA